AGUUAAAAAAAAAAGGCAGAGGUUUCCAUUUCCGAUCUAAAAUUAAAGUGGGGAAAAGGAGCUUCAUACUUAUAUUCAUCAUGUCUGACCUACAAUGAGAUAAAGGUGCAUCAGUGUUGUUUUCUCAUUUGUGUCUCCUCCCGGCUUGAAGAAAACCUUCCUAGUAGAUGCCAUUCCCUUCUCACCAACUUCUACCUCCUAAGCCUGAUGUUUCUAAUUGGCGGUGAUUCACGGGCUCCUCAGCGCUCCUUCCCACCCCUUCCCCCACCCCCUUUGCAGGCUAGCAGCAAUGAAGAGAGACAUCUGGUGCAGGGGGCUGCUUGCAGCUGAUAGAACCUGAAACUGAAGAUUAAGUGAUUUGUUCAAAAUCGCGGAGUCAGCAUUACGAAUGGAAUUCAGAAGCCCUGCCAACCUAGCUUCCUAUCACAGAUCACACUGUUUAUGUGGAAAAAUUAAUCCUAACAUUGAGGGGAAUACCGAAUGAAUGGCUCUUCUAGGUUGAGCCAACAAGGGAAAAGGGAAAGUAGAGUUAAUACAAAACUGAAGCAGUAGAGUGGAAGGAAAAUACUGACUCUGGACUCAGAGGAUCUGAGUACAAACCCUGCUUCUCAUAUUCCAAAUGACCUUGGGUAAGGCAUUUAACUUCUGCCUCAGUUUCCUCACUUGUAAAAAUAUUACAUGCCCACUAAAAUAUCUUCUAAAUCUAAAUCUAUUGAACCUAUAAACAUCGACCAGAAUUUUUACGUAGACACUCUACAGUGGUAUGCUAGUGAGUAUUUCAUAAAUGAGGGGGAAAAGAAUGUAUGCAUGACACACUUUUCAGGUGACUUUCAUUAUUGACAUUUUCUUGAACACUUUAAAUCUAGAUGAUCAAUAGAACGAUAAAUCAAGGCAUAAUUUGUAGCAUUUGUCAAUUUCCAAAAUAUAAAUGCUCACACUGAUAUUUUAGCAAUCAAUUCUCUUAAGCUUGUAUAAGCUAGCUUAAGCAGAUCCCUGACAACAUGAAGAGAUGAAGUAGGGCAAAGCAAACUACCUGAAUUCAAAUCAUUGCUUGCUAAUGUCCUGAUAAAGCUUAGAACUUUAGUUUAGGAAACAUGGCCCUAGGUCCCCAUUUUUUUAUGUUUGGCAGGUCAUGGAUACUAUAUAAUCUGAGCAGCAUCACAUGGCUAAGAAAACAUAAUGGAGUAACCAUUGGAUUGAAAGUCAAGGACACUCAGGUUGACUCCUGAUUCUGCCACAAACUCUCUGUGUGACCUCAGGUGGGCCAUUUUUCUUUUGUGAAGCUUAGUUUCAUUAUCUGUAAAUUAAGAAAAUUAGACUAGAUCAUUAUGAUGACCCUUCCUACAAUAGCAGGCUAAAAUUCUCAAAUAAACUAUAAGGUAAUAUGUAAGAAGUUCUACUG
rnacentral:lncRNA from 1 species